rnacentral:rRNA from 1 species
AUUGAACGCUGGCGGCAUGCCUUACACAUGCAAGUCGAACGGCAGCACGGUUGCUUGCACCUGGUGGCGAGUGGCGAACGGGUGAGUAAUACAUCGGAACAUGUCCUGUCGUGGGGGUUAGCCCGGCGAAAGCCGGAUUAAUACCGCAUACGAUCUACGGCUGAAAGCGGGGGCCCUUCGGGCCUCGCGCUAUAGGGUUGGCCGAUGGCUGAUUAGCUAGUUGGUGGGGUAAAGGCCUACCAAGGCGACGAUCAGUAGCUGGUCUGAGAGGACGACCAGCCACACUGGGACUGAGACACGGCCCAGACUCCUACGGGAGGCAGCAGUGGGGAAUUUUGGACAAUGGGCGAAAGCCUGAUCCAGCAAUGCCGCGUGUGUGAAGAAGGCCUUCGGGUUGUAAAGCACUUUUGUCCGGAAAGAAAUGCUUGGCCCUAAUACGGUCGGGGGAUGACGGUACCGGAAGAAUAAGCACCGGCUAACUACGUG